rnacentral:lncRNA from 1 species
GUCAGGUGUGGGUUGAAAAGUCUUCUCCUAAACCCUGUGAACCAACUAAGAUGAGUGUUUGUGUGGAGGAAGAGAAGAGAGCAGAGUCUCCACCAACCAGCUGUGUGUCUAUGAAGAGUGAGUGGUCCAAAGAUGAGCCUCUAGUCUUUAGUAAUGAGCAUGGAGCCUCAGACACAAAAGUCCACAACCACGGACAAAGAGUGGAACCGUCAGGAUCCAGCUGUCUGUCUAUGAAGAGUGACAGGUCCAAAGAUGAGCUUUUUAACUUCAGUAAUGAACCUGGAGCCUCAGACACAAAGUAAGAGACGGUUUCUACUGAACUGACCUGAUGGAGGAUGAAGACAAAAUGUUGUGUAGAUUUCUAUUGGUGAUGCAGAGACUGGUUCAGACUGGACAGAUGGGUCUUAGUCUGGGUUUUCUAUCCUCCAAUUACUGAUGGUGGUUCUGUAGUGAAACACUUCAGAACCUCUGUGCCUCCCUUAGUCACAACGCAAAGGCUUGAGUUCCUUUUACAGAUGUUUAAUUGACCAAUGUAGCUUGACAUUCAUCAACAUCACUGUAGAAUUAAAUGAAUGAGAUAAAUAUAAAAAACUUUAACCACACAUACAAUUACAUGUGACACUCGCAUUAUUAAAUGAACAGAAAGUAAAUUAACAUACCACUUUGCCUGCUUGAAAACUAAGAGAGCGGAUAUAGACUCAAAAUUCUUCUAGUGAACAAUCUUUAUCUUGUGAAAACACCACCACACGUGGACAGACUGUGUGGACAAACAGGGACAGAAACUGGCCAUCGUAGAUUUAGACCACUUCUCUUUUCCACAAUGUUUGUUCUGUAUGUUUUCCUUCAUUUGACAGUGAACAUUAGAGAUGGACAGAAUACAUAAAGGAAGGAACCGUCUGGUCCAGAACUUGUGACACCACUGUUCUAUGAUGAUGCUGCUCUACCACAGUCUUUUUAACCUCAGUUCAGACCCAACUUAGCCAAGCUCAGCUGUAGAACAAAGGACAAAAGCUGCUGUCUGUAGUGGAGGCUUUUACUGUGAAGCCAGAGGAAACAAAUGCUCAGUUCAGAUAGAGCAGUAGGUCACGUUUCCUGGUCUCUGGACCAUCUGAGCUUCUACAGUGUUGGACUCAUCAGUUUGGUUCUGAACUAAUGUGUUGACAGAGAAAAGAAGAAGAGUCGUGUUCUUGUGGAGGAGCAGCCGUCCUGCUGUGAUGUGUGUCAGGAGGUUCUGAAGGAUCCAGUCAGUAUCAGCUGUGGACACUGGUUCUGCAGACAGUGCAUCUCCUCAUACUGGGACCA